GACCUCGUAGUUCAACUGGAUAGAAUAUCAGAUUUCGGCUCUGAGGGUUGGGGGUUCGAACCCCUCCGGGGUCACUA
rnacentral:tRNA from 8 species